rnacentral:rRNA from 1 species
UGUAAGCGUAUACCAAAGUUGUUGCAGUUAAAACGCUCGUAGUCGGAAUUUGGCAGUUCCGGAUGUGUGCACGUCGUGUGCGCACUUCGCGGGGAUUGCUUUUGUGGUCUUGCGUAGGAUGAAGCACUUUUAUUAGUGAACGUCCUCACGCAACCACUUUUUACUGUGAGAAAAUCAGAGUGCUCAAAGCAGGCAUUUGCCGUGAAUGUAUUAGCAUGGAAUAAUAGAAUAGGACUUGGUUCUAUUUUGUUGGUUUGUUGGGACUGAGUAAUGAUUAAGAGGGACAGUUGGGGGCAUUUGUAUUUCGGUGCUAGAGGUGAAAUUCUUAGAUUACCGAAAGACAAACUGCUGCGAAAGCGUCUGCCAAGGAUGUUUUCAUUGA